CAACUUUCAACAACGGAUCUCUUGGCUCUCGCAUCGAUGAAGAACGCAGCGAAAUGCGAUAAGUAAUGUGAAUUGCAGAAUUCAGUGAAUCAUCGAAUCUUUGAACGCACCUUGCGCUCUUUGGUAUUCCGAAGAGCAUGCCUGUUUGAGUGUCAUGU
rnacentral:rRNA from 2 species